rnacentral:lncRNA from 1 species
CCACAGAGGUCUUAAUUUAUUAGUCAUACUAAAUACUACAUAAGCUGGCAAGGAUAAGAGAAGGUUACAUAACUACUUCAAAGAAAUAAUUGAACUGACAAGAUCCCAAAGUUAUCAGCCUCAACAAUACCCAAGUUCGAGAGAAAGGCAUGUUUAUUUAAUGAAUUGGACAAGCAGGUGAAAAAAAUGGAGGGUAUUGACGAGAAACUAAACUUAUUGCUUAACUCGGAGCCAUACAUAGAGGUUCAUUUCCACUCAAGACCCUUAAUUAGAUACCUCAUGGACCACCAUAUCCACCUUAGAUCCUAUCAAUGAAUGCAACUUGUUUCUCAGGAUCGUAUGAACCUUACUUGAUAACAGCUAACAUGUAGAGCACAGAUUCAGCAUCCACAUGAAACAGCAUUAUUCUGAUGUCCUUGGCUUUGUCCUCCUUUCAUGUUCCCUUCCAUGUUUUCCAUAUGUUCAGAGAAGGUAACCAACUUGCUGAUUCCCUCACAAACCUAGGAGUCGAGCUCUUGAAUGUUAGCCUUCAGUUUUUGCAUUUUCUCAUUCACUUUUAGUUGUCUAGC